rnacentral:rRNA from 1 species
UACGUAGGGGGCUAGCGUUGUCCGGAAUCAUUGGGCGUAAAGCGCGUGUAGGCGGCCCGGUAAGUCCGCUGUGAAAGUCGGGGGCUCAACCCUCGGAUGCCGGUGGAUACUGUCGGGCUCGAGUACGGAAGAGGCGAGUGGAAUUCCUGGUGUAGCGGUGAAAUGCGCGGAUAUCAGGAGGAACACCAAUUGCGAAGGCAGCUCGCUGGGACGUCACUGACGCUGAGACGCGAAAGCGUGGGGAGCAAAUAGG